AUUGAACGCUGGCGGCAGGCCUAACACAUGCAAGUCGAACGGUAACAGGAAGAAGCUUGCUUCUUUGCUGACGAGUGGCGGACGGGUGAGUAAUGUCUGGGAAACUGCCUGAUGGAGGGGAAAACCACUUGAAAAGGUUGCUUAUACCGCCUAACCUCGCAAGACCAAAGAGGGGGACCUUCGGGCCCCUUGCCAUUCGAAGUGGCCAGAUGGGAUUAGCUAGUAGGUGGGGUAACGGCUCCCCUAGGCGACGAUCCCUAGCUGGUCUGAGAGGAUGACCAGCCACACUGGAACUGAGACACGGUCCAGACUCCUACGGGAGGCAGCAGUGGGGAAUAUUGCACAAUGGGCGCAAGCCUGAUGCAGCCAUGCCGCGUGUAUGAAGAAGGCCUUCGGGUUGUAAAGUACUUUCAGCGGGGAGGAAGGGAGUAAAGUUAAUACCUUUGCUCAUUGACGUUACCCGCAGAAGAAGCACCGGCUAACUCCGUG
rnacentral:rRNA from 1 species